UGUUUGAUGUUCUAACGUGGACCCGUGAUCCGGGUUGCGGACAGUGUCUGGUGGGUAGUUUGACUGGGGCGGUCUCCUCCUAAAGAGUAACGGAGGAGCACGAAGGUUGGCUAAUCCUGGUCGGACAUCAGGAGGUUAGUGCAAUGGCAUAAGCCAGCUUGACUGCGAGCGUGACGGCGCGAGCAGGUGCGAAAGCAGGUCAUAGUGAUCCGGUGGUUCUGAAUGGAAGGGCCAUCGCUCAACGGAUAAAAGGUACUCCGGGGAUAACAGGCUGAUACCGCCCAAGAGUUCAUAUCGACGGCGGUGUUUGGCACCUCGAUGUCGGCUCAUCACAUCCUGGGGCUGAAGUAGGUCCCAAGGGUAUGGCUGUUCGCCAUUUAAAGUGGUACGCGAGCUGGGUUUAGAACGUCGUGAGACAGUUCGGUCCCUAUCUGCCGUGGGCGCUGGAGAACUGAGGGGGGCUGCUCCUAGUACGAGAGGACCGGAGUGGACGCAUCACUGGUGUUCGGGUUGUCAUGCCAAUGGCACUGCCCGGUAGCUAAAUGCGGAAGAGAUAAGUGCUGAAAGCAUCUAAGCACGAAACUUGCCCCGAGAUGAGUUCUCCCUGAGACUUAAAGUCUCCUGAAGGAACGUUGAAGACG
rnacentral:rRNA from 1 species